GGUACACAAUAACUAAACAGCAAGUUUAAAUAACCAUGUUAGCUAUCGUGUAUCAAAAUAUUUGAAAUGGCGAAUUUGGGACGAAUAUAUGUGUUUUGGAUCCUUAUUUAUAUAUGCCUGUUAACAGAAGGGUCGGGUUAUUUCAUCUCAUCGACUGCAACGACCUGGCAAACUGUUUGUAAAGAAUGUGAGCUUGUACAACCAGAACUUAAGUACAAUGAAAAUGGUCUUUUUGAGCUCGAAGAACAAUUUGAUAUAAACGAGAAUAUUCCUGCAGAAGGUGUUUGGAUAGGAUAUUUCAAGGCAUUUACAAAGUUCGAGUUUAAAGGUUGCGGAUAUUUGUUGCCGUUGCGGUAUCCUAAUACAACGCACACCGUGUCCAGUCUGACCCAGUGUCAUCAUAUCUGCCGUGGAACCAAUUUUCUGAUGAUCAUUGAUGAUAAGAUACAAAAAUGUGUUUGCACUAACGUUAAGACUUCUCUUGACAACGAUGGUUGCACAUUAUGUGACGAUAUCAUUUGUGGCCCUGGCGUGUAUAUUGCUGUUUAUAGCGUUUUGACCGAUGUUUCUGUAGAGAGUAGAAAUUCCAAUAAUACUGAUUAUUUAUGCCAUGCCUCCCCAUCCAGCUCUAUCCAAUCAGCUUGGGUGAUGUGUGCGGAUACACAUUAUCAAAGGAAAGUAUGGUGCAGAGAAAACGGUAAAUUGUAUGUUUUUACAUCGACUAUAUUAAGGGCCAUCUAUUUUGAAAAUAAUUUUGCUGAACUAAGUGCUAAGAACAUGCGUGUAUAUCGUGCAGAUGAACUAAGUAAAUUAUACUUUGAAGUUAUAUAAAUCAGUAUACAAUCAGGCUUGAUAGACAACUCUGAAAUGAAAUUGCAUUCGAGGAUCAUAUUCAGUAUGUUGAUUCCUCGAAAAACUUUGUCAUAUAAGAUUAGGAUAGUUUUUAUUCGUAUAGGUCUACACAUUGUUAAAUAUUUGGCUUUGGAGUACCAGUGUAGCAUUGCAACCAUAUGUGUUAACAUGUUACUUCAAAUAAUUAUGUUUUAAGCCAGUAAUAGUUUCAGGCAAAUACGUGUAAGCAGCAUCAUGACUCUAAUUAAAUAUCCGUAUUCGAUGUACAAUAAUUUAAAUUCAAAUCUCGCCGUAAUUUCAUAUUUAUAACACCUCUUUUGCUUAACACAGUUUGCGGGCGACAGGGAAUACUAGUAUGCUUCUUUAUCUAUGUUCUUACUCUUAUUGUAUACUGGCCCUAUAGGUUUGUAUUGAUAAGAAUAUUUCGAUUCUACAUUUAAAAAUUAAGAGGACUUGGAAUGUAAUUAUGGUAAGUAUGCUUCGGUUUCAACAAUAUAUGCGACGCUAAUUACUCGAUUGUAAAAAAUAUUCAGUAAUUUUAGGGAAGCCAUAUAUUUCGACUCAGACAUUUGUUAACUGGAAUGCGGCUAAUGAUCACUGCGCAGAUGCAUUUGACGACCCAUCGUCCGCCGAAGGUUACAGUGGAAACAGCAAUACAAAUUUGGCGUUUACAAAUAUUCGUCGAGAGUGGACUCUGCACACAGCGAAAAGUAGUUUCAAUGGUCCACGCAUGUUUGCCUACAUAACAAUCGGAUCAACAGAGAUAAAGUUUUCUAGCAGUUCAAAGGAGGACAGGAAGCACUUCUUGUGCGCUGGUACUCGACAAAUAGCCACAACCACAACGUCUACAACACAAGCUUCAUCACCGAAACCAAUGUCAGUAUCACUGACGUCGACCAUACCCAGCACAUAUUCGACAACUGUCAAUACGUCAACAAGCGCUGCGCCUAAUGAAGCAUUUGCAGACUCUUCACGAGGAUCUUCAACUGCAGCAACAGCAGCAGGAGUUUCAGUUGCAGUCGCACUUGCGGUAGCAGCAGUUUUGAUCGUUGUUGGUCUGAGAAAAAAAGGAGUGCUACCGUGUUUGACGAUUCAAACGACAGAAGGUCCAAAUAGACGAACGUUUGAAGACGCUCAAGAAACGAAUUAUGAAGGCAUGAUUGAAAGAAAUGAAAGCAAUGAGAGUUAUUGUGUGCUAGACAGAAAUGUUGUUUCGGGUGAAGGAAUUGUUAGCUAUAUUAAUUCUCACAAUAAUCAAAAUAUUGUGAAUGGCACCAAUGAAAAAUACAGUCCAGAAUAUUAUAAUACAGAUUCAUAUGAAUAUGUUCAGAAAGCUUAUACAAACAGAGAUUUCACGAAUAAUUAAACCUGUUUGUUAGGCCGAUAUGUCUACAUUUCACAUCUAAUAAAAGUAUGUCACAUAUCUGUAAUAUAUUCCCCAUGUAUUUAAUUUUACAUUCCAAAGCUUUGGGUAUGUAAAACCAUUACUUUGACUUUGUUUUGUGCGCUAUAAUUUUAUUGAAGAUUUUUUCUGUUACAUUGCUCUACACUAUGUCCCUAUCUUUAAAUACGAUGAUGUAGAAACUCAUGUGUCGAGUGUCGUUUUCCAUAGAAACGCUAUAAUAACCAACUAUGACAAUAUGAUGGCCACAUGAUAAUAAUAUGAAAAUCCAUAACGAGAAUAAAUUCGAAGAUCUUGAACACACACAUCCAUUUAUAGUUUUCGGUUUAUAAUGAACACUUUUGAAGAUGAUUAUAUUAUACUUAAAGGUUUUUAUUUGUGCUUCUAGUAUGUACCUACCAACAGGGUGUGUCUAUCAUUCGUGUGUUAAGGUUUUAAAUUACGUCAAUAAAAAGGCAAAUGUCAACUUGGAUUGUGACAAUAUUCUUAUUUCAAUCCAGUAGAGUAACUGUUUAGAAGUUUAUAUGUAUAAAAAUAAUUUUAACAAAAAUAAAUAUGUAUUAUGUUUUGAUUUCUCGACGUUAACGAUGAUUAUCGUUCAUGAUAAAAGUUUAUGUAUUUCUUUUUUACAUUGUGUUAAAAAGCAUAAAUGUUCCGUGCGUAAUAUACCAUACCAAUCUUGAGGCACAUUUAUAAAGUGUGAUUUAUGUUUUCAAGUGUCGGUUAUUUCCUCAAGUAUUUACUGUAUUGCAUGUACUGCUCCAUUUUUCUUCUGUUAAGAAAUGAAUAAGCAUAAAUACACUUGACAUGUUAUGAUCGUUAAACAAAUAAUCACCUUAAAAGUUCUUUAAUGUUGGUAUAUUUAGUAUUCAAUUUUAACACUGUAAGGGGUAUGCUGAAGUUUAGUUUAACGCAAAUUUGUGUUAACGUAACACCGUCGUAUGCUUGUUUGUAUAAAAACAAGAUGUUCAUAAUAUAAUAUGAAUCCAAGUAAAAUUGAUUGGGCAAUGUGUGUUCCCUGAACUGCAAAAUCAGAAUAGCACAAUCAUCAAUUACACCACACAAACCUUUUGUAUGGCGUACUUGUAACGACAAUGCAUGUCUUGAAUUGAAGGAAAUGGCUUGUAUUUCUUUUUAUUUGAAGAUAUGUGUACCGCAAGUUAGACUUGUGUGAAACAGAAGCCUUCUUCAGCUUUAGGCGUUUUGAUAUUCAAUCAUAUAUUUUAAACAUGACAAUAAUAUAUACUUGAUUAUAAAUUAAAUAUAAUUGAAAUCAUAAGGUUCAUAACAUGUUAUGUUUAAAACAAUCGAUCGCUCUUAUAUUUCAGCAAUUGUCUAGUUGUAACUUUUCCAAGAGCGGUUAAAUAUAUCAAUUUUAACUUUCAUCUGGUGUUGUUUUAGAUUAUUUGCUACAUAAAUACACUAAAAAUAUUCAUGUCCGACGCUCGGAUAAUUCUAUAAAACGGGCGGUUGUGGUUGAAUCGCGCUGCACGUGUAAACAGUUAUAUGUGAAUAUUGUUGUUUUUUCUAAGCAUGUUAUUUGUUACAAAACGUUUUCGAAAUUGAUUUAAAUACAUGUAUGUGCAACAUGUGUCAAAUUUAGGAAAAUAGUUAUAUUCCUUUUUCAAAAGUAAUAUGCUAUGGUCAUCAUUACAUUGUUCUAUCAACAUGGAUAAAAAAAUUAUCAUCUGUUCUCCUUGAACUUACUUAUGAAUACUCUAUAUGUUUAUCAGUGUGUAAAAUGUAAAUAAAUGUGCUUCAUUAUUAUUUCAUCCGCUAAUGUAUUAUUGUAUUUAUGUGGUACUGUUUUUCUUACACUGUAAUAUAGCAUGACUGUACCCUACUAUUUUACCAUGCCUUUUACUUAUGCAUAUUUUUUAUACACAAGUUCUUAUAUUAAAAAAGCUUGCAUCUUUAAAUACGUUAUGUUUGUCAUUCAUGGCCCUGCGUUCUUAAAUCACUACUUGUUCGGAU